GGUGGAGUUUCAGUAUUACAAAGCAAUGGAGAGCUUGUGUGUGUUUCAGAGUGUGCGUUAUAAGGGUGUUUUAUGUUCAGUGGAGGGAGGGGAGCUAUUUUUGCACAUGGAAUAGGGUGAGGGAAUGGAAUAAAUUUCCUUUGUGACAGAUUUGUGUGUUUUUCAUAUGAUCUUGGUUUUGUGUUUUAUUGUGUCUUUGUUUUUAUUUGUGAUGUCAUUGGUGUGUUGAGAGUGGAAAUAAAGGAUGGUUAAAAUUCUAAAUUCUGUUCUGCUGUUCUUACAGUGUGGACCAUGGAGGAGAGAACAGGACCAAACCAGGACCCAGGAAAUACGGCUGUCAGCUCACACUGGAUCCAAACACAGCGCACAGAGAGCUGUCUCUGUCUGAGGGGAACAGGAAGGUGACACACACACCGGGGAGAGAGCAGCCAUAUCCUGAUCAUCCAGAGAGAUUUGAGUCUGUGCGCCAGGUUGUGUGCAGAGAGAGUGUGUGUGAGCGCUGUUACUGGGAGGCUGAGUUCAGUGUGUCUGAGAGGUGGGAAGCGGUUUAUAUAGCAGUGACAGAUAAAGGAAUCAGCAGGAAAGGAGAGGUUUCUGACUGUGAGUUUGGAUGGAAUAAAAACUCCUGGGGUCUGAGGUGCUCUAAACUCAGAGACUCUGAUAAACUCAGAUACUCUGUCUGUCACAAUGAGAACCAAACAGACAUACCUGCCCUCACCUCCCCCUACCACAGAGCAGGAGUGUGUGAUGAUGAUGAUGAUGCUGCUAGAGGAGUGUGUGUGUACAGGGUAGGAGUGUGUGUGGACCGUCCGGCCGGCACUUUGUCCUUCUACAGCGUCUCUGACUCUGACACACUGACCCUCCUGCACAGAUUCCACACACACUUCACUCAACACACACCCCUCUGUGCUGGAUUUUAUGUGUGGUACUCCUCACUGUCCCUCUGCUAACUGGAGUAGAGACACACACACACACACACUCACACACACACUCACACACACACACACACACACGCACGCACACUCAAACAUGCAUGUGCGCACACGCAUACACACACACACACACGUGCGCAUACACACUCGCAUGCAUGCACACACACACACACAACACAUUCACAUACCCACUCACACAUACACACUCAGAUACACAUAGACACACACACCAACACCAACACACACACAUCCACAGACACACACAUACUCUCACACACACCCUUGCUCUCUCACACUCACACACAUGCACACACACAUGAACACACACAAUCUCUCGCGCACACACAUACACGCAUGCAUACGUACACACGCUCAGUCACUCACACACACUCCCUCUCUCUCUCACACACAUUCACACAAACGCACGCACGCACACACGAACUCACGCACACACACAUACAUGUGUGCAGAGACACAAACACGUGUCAACACACACACUCACUCAUGUACACUCAUGCACACACACUCACACACACAUACACACUUUCUCACACCCAGUCACUCACACACCCAAUCACACACAUGCACACACACACCUACACAUGGACACACACAAUCUCUCGCACACGCAAACACACACAUUCACCAGUGCACUCUCACGCGCACACGCGCAUGCAUGCAUACUUACAUACGCUCGUAACCGUAUGCACACACACACUCUCUCUGUCUUACUCAGUCACUCAAACACACCCUCUCUCUCUCACACAGACAGACACACUCACAUCCACACAUUCACACAAACGCAUGCACACACACAAAAACUCAUGCACACACACAUACAUGCGUGCAGAGACACAAACAUGUGUCAACACACACACUCCUCAGUGUCCCUCUGCUAACUGGAGUAGAGACACACACAUGCGCGCACACCCACUCUCGCACACUCAGUCAGACACACACACACACACCCUCUCUCACUCACAUACACUCCAUCACACACACACAUACUCUCACACACACCCUUUCUCUCUCAGUCAUGCACACACACUCACACACCUACGCACGCACACUCUCUCACACCCAGUCACUCACACACACCUCCACACAGACACACACAAUCUCACGCACACACAUACACACGCUCAUACCCGUAUGCACACACACACACACUCUUUCUCUCUCUCACACUCUCACAUACAGUAUACAGACACACACAUUUGCAAACGCACGCGCACACACACGCACACACACACUCAUGCACUCACGCACAAACACAAACGUGUCAACACACACACAUUCUCAUUCCCAUACGCACGCACACACAUGUAUACACACACAUUCUAUUACCUAUACACACACAUACACAUACUCAUGCACUCACACAUGCACAGGCAUGCAUACACUUGCAUGCGUGCACACACCAUAUACACAUGUAUACACAAACAUUCUCAUACCCAUACACACACACACACACACACGUAUAAACACACACACAUUCACAAAGGCACUCUCACGCACACACACAUACAUACACUCAUUCUCUUGCACGCACACACUCUCAAAUACAGUCUCACACACAUUCACACAAACGCACGCACACACACUUUCUCUUACCCAUACACACACGCACCUGUGUGCACACAUACUCAUGUACUCAAUUAUACUCUCACACAUGCACACACACAUACAUGCGUGCAUACACACACACACAUUCUCUUACCCAUUCACACACGCAACCCGGGCACACACACACACACACGCAUACUCACGCACUCACACACAUGCUCACAUCUACAGUCACUCCCACAAACACACGUAUGCAUGCACACACACAUUCACAAAUGCACACACACAGAAACACACUCUCACCCAGUCACACACGCACACAUGUCGACACACUUGCAGCCUUCCUUGACCAAUGCCUUACCACUGCAAUUUCAGCUGUGCCCAAUAUUAGCCUCAAUACAGCUUAAACCCUGUACAUGAGAGUAUGAUCUUUUAGCAGGUUCAGGUUAAGCACUCGCUGUCUAAAUAUGAUUUUAUUUUUUUUACAUUUUAAUAAAUUUAUAUUUCAAAUGUUCAAGGUGUGUUUAUGUACUUUUGAUUAUUAAAACAUUAAUAUAACAUUGAGAGUAAUAAUGCCAAAAGAUGGCAGAGUAAAAUGUUUUUGAAGUAAUAAUUCUGUCUCCUGUAUCUGCAUCUUUUUUUAAAGAAGCCAGUGGCAAACUCCUCCACUUAAAUGUGCAUUUUACUAGUUUUUACAGUUGCUUUCAUUCAUUUUCACAAGAGUUCCAAUGUGCAAAUUUCUGUGGGCAAAUGCAGCUGAUAGGGAGAAUGCAGAAUGAUCACUGCAGUGUACUUAUUUCAUUUCAUUACUGUAAACAAUGAUGGAUUGAGUUUCCUUAUUUAUUCUGUUAGGAUUGAUUUUUUUUUGCUUUAAUUUUCUGUAUUUUCAGACAAUAAUAUGCAAUGAUUAAACCUGAAUUAUAAAAAUAUCAAA